rnacentral:rRNA from 1 species
GACGAACGCUGGCGGCGUGCUUAACACAUGCAAGUCGAACGGAAAGGCCCUGCUUUUGUGUGGUGCUCGAGUGGCGAACGGGUGAGUAACACGGGAGUAACCUGCCCUUGACGUUGGGAUAACUUCAGGAAACUGGGGCUAAUACCGGAUAGGAGCUCCUGCUGCAUGGUGGGGGUUGGAAAGUUUCGGCGGUUGGGGAUGGACUGGCGGCUUAUCAGCUUGUUGGUGGGGUAGUGGCUUACCAAGGGUUUGACGGGUAGCCGGCAUGAGAGGGUGACCGGCCACAUUGGGCCUGAGAUACGGACCAGACUGCUACGGGAGGCAGCAGUGGGGAAUAUUGCACAAUGGGCGGAAGCCUGAUGAAGCAACGCCGCGUGCGGGAUGACGGCCUUCGGGUUGUAAACCGCUUUCGCCUGUGACGAAGCGUGAGUGACGGUAAUGGGUAAAGAAGCACCGGCUAACUACGUG